rnacentral:rRNA from 1 species
UACGAAGGUGGCAAGCGUUGUUCGGAUUCACUGGGCGUACAGGGUGUGUAGGCGGUUUGGUAAGCCUUCUGUUAAAGCUUCGGGCCCAACCCGGAAAGCGCAGAGGGUACUGCCAGGCUAGAGGGCGGGAGAGGAGCGCGGAAUUCCCGGUGUAGCGGUGAAAUGCGUAGAGAUCGGGAGGAAGGCCGGUGGCGAAGGCGGCGUCCUGGACCAACACUGACACUGAUGAGCGAAAGCCAGGGGAGCAAACGGG